rnacentral:rRNA from 1 species
AUUGAACGCUGGCGGCAGGCUUAACACAUGCAAGUCGAGCGGGGUGAUGGUGCUUGCACUAUGACUUAGCGGCGGACGGGGGAGUAAUGCUUAGGAAUCAGCCUAUUAGUGGGGGACAACAUCUCGAAAGGUGUGUUAAUACUGAAUAGGUCCAAAGGGAGAAAGCAGGGGAUCACUAGUGACCUUGAGCUAAUAGAUGAGCCUAAGUCUGAUUAGCUAGUUGGUGGGGUAAAGGCCUACCAAGGCGACGAUCUGUAGCGGGUCGGAGAGGAUGAUCGGCCACACUGGGAGUGAGAAACGGCCGAGACUCCUACGGGAGGAAGCAGUGGGGAAUAUUGGGGAAUGGGGGGAACAUUGAUCCACCCAUGCCGCGUGUGGGAAGAAGGCCUUAUGGUUGUAAAGCACUUUAAGCGAGGAGGAGGCUCUUUUGGUUAAUACCCAAGAUGAGUGAACGUUACUCGCAGAAUAAGCACCGGCUAACUCUGUGCCAGCAGCCGCCGUAA